rnacentral:lncRNA from 1 species
UCUUUCUCUCUUGUUUCCGCCUUCUUAAGGGACCGGGGGGCUAUUUCGUGUCAGCCCGGGCCGGCUUUCGCGUCGGGGGGGCCCCUUCGAAUAACAAAGGGUGGAAGGGGCGGUUUUUUUAUGUUAGCUGGUCGAAGGAUUGGGGCUUCGGGGUUCGAUGGGCAGUGAGGGUAAUAGAUAACACAGUCCCGGACUUGAACGACGAGGAGCGUCG